rnacentral:lncRNA from 1 species
CCCCUGCUGUCCUGUAGAAAAACUGUCCACAAAACCAAUCCCUGGUACCAAAAUGGUUGGUGACCACUGGCUUAUAAUACUGGACACAAUGCUAUGUAAAUAGUUACUAUACCAUAUUGUUUAGGGAAUAAUAGGAAAAAAGUUUGUACUUGUUUACAUAUACAUAUAUGCCGUCCUUUUUUCUGAAUAUUUUUGAUUUGUAGGUUGUUGAAUCCAAGGAUAUGGAAACCACAGAUAUAGAGGGCUGAUUUUGUUCAACUGUGCUAAUCCUUUGGCCAGGUCACAUCCCUGUACCUCAGCUACUUUAUAAUCUGAAAGCUGUUCCUGUACGGAAAGAAACCUAUUUGUUCAGCUGGCUCACGCCUGUAAUUCCAGCACUUUGGGAGGCCAAGACAGGUGGGUCACCUGUGGUCAGAAGUUCGAGCCUGGGCAACAUGGUGAAACUCUGUCUCUACUAAAAAUACAAAAAUUAGUCAGGCAUUAUGGCAGGUGCCUGUAAUCCUGACUACUCGGGAGGCUGAACCACAAGAAUUGCUUGAACCCAGGAGGCAGAGGUGGCAGUGAGCCAAGAGCACGCCACUGCACUCCAUCCUGGGAGACAAAGUGAGACUGUCUCAAUAAAAAAAAAAAUCAAUUUGUCCAAGGCUUCAGUUCCACUGUCAGAAACUGUUCUCGAAUUUCUUCUCAUCUUCCUAUUCAAGACAUCCCUGCAUGUCUAGAUCAGAGCCCAUGUUUCUAUGUGUGUAUGUGUGGAUCAAUGGAAGAAGGGGAAGAUGAGAUAAUGGUAAAGUUGUAACUGAGGGGUGUUCACCUCCCCAAAGA